rnacentral:rRNA from 1 species
AGAGUUUGAUCAUGGCUCAGAUUGAACGCUGGCGGCAUGCCUUACACAUGCAAGUCGAACGGCAGCACGGGAGCAAUCCUGGUGGCGAGUGGCGAACGGGUGAGUAAUACAUCGGAACGUGCCCGAUCGUGGGGGAUAACGCAGCGAAAGCUGUGCUAAUACCGCAUAAGAUCUAAGGAUGAAAGCAGGGGACCGCAAGGCCUUGCGCGAAUGGAGCGGCCGAUGGCAGAUUAGGUAGUUGGUGAGGUAAAGGCUCACCAAGCCUUCGAUCUGUAGCUGGUCUGAGAGGACGACCAGCCACACUGGGACUGAGACACGGCCCAGACUCGUACGGGAGGCAGCAGUGGGGAAUUUUGGACAAUGGGCGCAAGCCUGAUCCAGCAAUGCCGCGUGCAGGAUGAAGGCCUUCGGGUUGUAAACUGCUUUUGUACGGAACGAAAAGGCUCUUUCUAAUAAAGAGGGCUGAUGACGGUACCGUAAGAAUAAGCACCGGCUAACUACGUGCCAGCAGCCGCGGUAAUACGUAGGGUGCGAGCGUUAAUCGGAAUUACUGGGCGUAAAGCGUGCGCAGGCGGUGAUGUAAGACAGUUGUGAAAUCCCCGGGCUCAACCUGGGAUCUGCAUCUGUGACUGCAUCGCUGGAGUGCGGCAGAGGGGGAUGGAAUUCCGCGUGUAGCAGUGAAAUGCGUAGAUAUGCGGAGGAACACCGAUGGCGAAGGCAAUCCCCUGGGCCUGCACUGACGCUCAUGCACGAAAGCGUGGGGAGCAAACAGGAUUAGAUAGCAUGGUAGUACACGCCCUAAACGAUGUCAACUGGUUGUUGGGAAU